ACCUCUUGAGCACGUCUAGACUCCAACCAUGAUGUAGCCGCAACCUUUGUAGUCAAAAACCACCCAGCAUGAUCAGGUGCUUCAUGGAACGGAGCAUUUAAUUCCUUAAGGUGCGACUCAAAUACACCUGCCAGACCUUUCUCGGAAUAUUUAUGUUUUCCAUGUCCUGUGUUGAUUCCAAGCAAUGAUGGGAACUCUUCCCCACUUUCAAGUGCUUUGUUCAAGUCGUUCAUCCAGAUGUGCAAUGCUGUUAAAGCUGCCCCGAGCGAGAGG
rnacentral:lncRNA from 1 species